ACUUCAGCGUCUCUUCCGUCCUCUGAAGCUGGGACCACAUGAGCGGCUAUGAAAAGCCUAGCCGGGGUUGGGGGUACUGUGCCCCCAGCCCCGUGCUCCUUCUGAGUGUCCUGACGGCAGCUCCACUUGGCCUGCUGGGGGAGGAGACCCGCCAGGUGUCUCUGAAGGUCAUCUCUAACUGGCCGGACUUUUCCCAGAACCUGCUUCAUAUUCAGGCAGUGGGUACCAACUCCACGCUGCACUACGUGUGGAGCAGCCUGGGUCCCCCAGCAGUGCUGUUGGUGGCCACCAACACCCCCAACAGCACCCUGAGUGUCAACUGGAGCCUCCUGCUCUCCUCUGAUCCUGACGGGGGCCUGAUGGUGCUCCCCAAGAAGAGCAUCCAAUUUUCUUCUGCCCUUGUCUUUACCAGGCUAUUUGAGUUUGACAGCACGAACAUGUCCGACGCGGCCUCAAGGCCUCCAGGAAAAUCAUAUCCCCCGUACUCCUUGGCCAAUUUCUCCUGGAACAACAUCACUGACUCACUGGAUCCUGCCACCCUCAGCGCCACGUUUCGAGGCCACCCUGUUGACGACCCCACUGGGGCUUUUGCCAAUGGCAGCCUGACCUUCAGGGUCCAGGCCUUCUCCACAUCUGGCCGACCAGCCCAACCCCCUCGCCUCCUGCACUCAGCGGACACCUGCCAGCUAGAGGUGGCCCUGGCUGGGGUCUCUCCCCGGGGAAACCGCUCCCUGUUUGGGCUGGAGGUAGCCACCUUGGGCCCGGGCCCCGGCUGCCCCUCAAUGCAGGAGCUGCACUCCAUCGAUGAUGAGUAUGCCCCUGCUGUCUUCCAGUUGGAUCAGCUGCUAUGGAGCUCCCUCCCAUCAGGCUUCAUGCAGUGGCGACCAGUGGCUUUCUCCCAGAAGCAGGGCAGCCGGGAAUCAGCCAUGCCCUGCCAAUCUUCCCCGCUUUACCCCACCUUGGCAUACCUUCUCCCCCAGUCACCCAUUGUCCGAGCCUUCUUUAAGACCCAGAACAACUUCUGUGCCUUCAAUCUGACAUUUGGGGCUUCCACAGGCCCUGGCUACUGGGAUCAACACUACCUCAGCUGGUCUGUGCUCCUGGGUGUGGGCACGCCUCCAAUGGAUGCCUUGUCCCCGCUCAUCCUAGGCAUCGUGGCAGUGGCCCUCGGUGCUCCAGCGCUCAUGCUGCUGGCAGGAGGCCUGUUUCUGCUGCUGGGCCACAAGCGGUACUCUGAAUACCAGUCCAUAAAUUGAGGCCUGCUGUCUAGAGGAAAGGACAUUACUCGACCUGCCUUGCUGGUCUGCAGGUUUGAGGGUUUGGGAGCAUGCUAUUCCAUGGGGUUGCAGAGUCGGACAUGACUGAGCGACUGAACUGAACUGAGCAUACUACAGAGACUGUUCUGCACACUGAUUUUCCCCCCAUUGAAUGCAUCUUGGAGCUUAUGUCAUUGUGUGUGUGUGCUCAGUUGCUCAGUCGUGUCCGACUCCUUGAGACUCCAUGGGCUGUAGCCCACCAGGCUCCUCUGUCCAUGGAACUUUCCAGGCAAGAUUACUGGAGUGGGUUGCCAUUUCCUACUCCAGGAGAUCUUCCCAACCCAGGGAUUGAACCCACAUCUCCUGCAUCUCCUGCAUCUCUCGGCAGGUGGAGUCUUUACCACUGACCCACCUGAGAAGCAAUUGUGUCGUAUCAGUAUAUAAAGAGCUUCAUUAUUUCGCA